rnacentral:lncRNA from 1 species
CACACACAAUUAAAUACAAUACAAGAUGCCUUCUUGAUUUCUCUCUCUCAUAUUCUUCCUCUCCAGAAACCAAGCAGUUACUCUGGAGGACUGGACAAAGAAGCUGGCUUCAAACUGAUAUGUCCCUGGCUCUGAAUAUAAGAAAAUACAAGACAAUAAAGAGUUAAAAAACAAUGUGUUUUUUAUUAAUUAUACAUACACUUCGCUUACUAACAAUACAUAUACAAGAUGACCUCUUUCUCCGGAAACCAAGCAGUUACUCUGGAGGGCUGAACAAAGAAGUUAGCUUCAAAUUGAUAAGUUCCUGGCUCUGAAUAUAAGAAAAUACAAGACUAUGACAAUAUUAAUGUGUCAAUAAAGAGUUAUAAGACAAUGUC